UACGUAGGUGGCAAGCGUUGUCCGGAUUUACUGGGCGUAAAGAGCGCGCAGGCGGUCGUCCAAGUCGCGUGUGAAAGCCCCCGGCUCAACUGGGGAGGGUCACGCGAUACUGGUCGACUCGAAGGCAGGAGAGGGUAGUGGAAUUCCCGGUGUAGUGGUGAAAUGCGUAGAUAUCUGGAGGAAUACCGGUGGCGAAGGCGGCAUCCUGGACCAUUACUGACGCUGAGGCGCGAAAGCUAGGGGAGCAAACGGGG
rnacentral:rRNA from 1 species